rnacentral:snoRNA from 2 species
GUCUCUAAUGAUGAUCUAAAAUAUAACUUUCGUUCUUCCGAGAUUAGCCAUGCGGAAAAGUUAUGGAGACCUGAACUGAAGAGAC